GGAGAGGUGUCCGAGUGGUUGAAGGAGCACGCCUGGAAAGCGUGUGUACGGGUUAACUGUACCGAGGGUUCGAAUCCCUCUCUCUCCGCCA
rnacentral:tRNA from 1 species